rnacentral:rRNA from 1 species
UACGUAGGGAGCGAGCGUUGUCCGGAUUCAUUGGGCGUAAAGAGCUCGUAGGCGGCUUGAUAAGUCGGAUGUGAAAUCCCGAGGCUCAACCUCGGGUCUGCAUCCGAUACUGCCCGGCUAGAGGUAGGUAGGGGAGAUCGGAAUUCCUGGUGUAGCGGUGAAAUGCGCAGAUAUCAGGAGGAACACCGGUGGCGAAGGCGGGUCUCUGGGCCGAAAUUGACGCUGAGGAGCGAAAGCGUGGGGAGCAAACAGG